UACGUAGGGGGCAAGCGUUGUCCGGAAUCAUUGGGCGUAAAGCGCGUGUAGGCGGCUCGAUAAGUCCGUUCUGAAAGUCCAGGGCUCAACCCUGGGAUGCGGAUGGAUACUGUCGAGCUCGAGUCCGGAAGAGGCGAGUGGAAAUUCCUGGUGUGCGGUGAAAUGCGCAGAUAUCAGGAGGAACACCAAUGGCGAAGGCAGCUCU
rnacentral:rRNA from 1 species